CUGAUGUAAGAUGACCCAGAGGAACUUGCUUGCUAUUUCACUGGCUCAGCAGGCACUGGGUUCAGAAGAAAGCAAGGCUGCAGCUGUCACCUUCACAGGGUGGAGUGGAGAGUAAGCAGAAAGACUGUGCUGCUUUGUGUUGCGGUUUAUGGACUAUGCCAUAGAUAACAGGAUACAGUUCCAGCAGCAGGUUUCUGAUAUUGGAUUGGGCAGUCAGAGGAUUUGUACACUAGUUACUAGCUCAACGGGAUUCAAGUUUAAAUGAAUGGAGGUGUUGUCUACAGCUAAAGGUUUUGGCCUCGUGAAGUGGGGAAGCUGGUUGGGUUUCAGCAUCCUGUCAUUCCCGUACAUCACCAGUACGUCAUCACAGCGUCCGUCCCCGAGGUGAAGGUGCAGAAAAUGAAGCUGCAGGAAUCCUGGGUAACAGACCGUGUCCCGCCAGAUUGUUGGUAACACGACUUCUGGAGCCUACAGCUACUCCAGUCAGCAGAGUGUGGCCUUUGCCUACGUCCCCACAAAACUCAAUUCAAUAGGCCAGAAGGUAGAGGUUGGGCUUCUGGGCAAAAACUAUGAAGCAACUAUUACAGAAGAGCCACUGAUACUCACAGAGCCCACAAGAACCCGCCUGCAGAAAAAGAGCAAGGCCACCAAGUGAGAGAGAAGACUAGUGUGUCUCCAGCCUGAACGAGUCUAUCAAGGAAAAACAACAAGGAACAAUGUGUUUCCACAACACUGGAAACUGGGAGCGGUUUUUAAAGGAAGCUUCUUUUAAACAAAAAACAGAAGGAAUGAUAUUACACACUGGGAGUCCACAGGAUUGGAAGGAUGGAAAAAUAAUAUUUUCACAAUGAGUAAAAUCUUACUGUAAGACUGGGAUUGGUAACAAAAAAAAAAAAAAACUUAUUUCAGUAUCAUAGUAAUAAAAACCUAGCAUUGCAGUGGCCCUUGUGCUAACUUAGCUUCUUGUCUGUAGUGUCACUGCAUACCUAGUGAUGAGAGUCUGGGAAGGACAGUCAGAAGCUGGAUAUGCACCUUCAAUUGUCAGGAUUUGAACUGUAAAUACAGACCUUCAGUGGGGAAAGAAACUAACUGAGAUCCAUUGUUUUGCAUAGUGAAAUAAGCACACAUGAAUGCAAUUAACUGUAUAGUUUGAAUGCAGUAUUACAAAGUGG